rnacentral:rRNA from 1 species
AUUGAACGCUGGCGGCAUGCCUAACACAUGCAAGUCGAGCGGAGCGGCGGACGGGUGAGUAAUGCCUAGGAAUCUGCCUGGUAGUGGGGGAUAACGUCCGGAAACGGGCGCUAAUACCGCAUACUAUCAGAUGAGCCUAGGUCGGAUUAGCUAGUUGGUGGGGUAAAGGCCUAACAAGGCGACGAUCCGUAAAUGGUCUGAGAGGAUGAUAAGUAACACUGGAACUGAGACACGGUCCAUACUCCUACGGGAGGCAGCAGUGGGGAAUAUUGGACAAUGGGCGAAAGCCUGAUCCAGCCAUGCCGCGUGUGUGAAGAAGGCCUUCGGGUUGUAAAGUACUUUCAGUCGGGAGGCGUUACCGACAGAAGAAGCACCGGCUAACUCCGUGCCAGCCGCCGCGGUAAUAC